AAAAGAUAUGGUGCUUUGAAAACACUUGGUGAAAAAAAGCAACCAUUCAAUGAGUACUUAAUGCAAAGGAAAAAGAUAGAGGCCGAGGAUAGACAUCACAGGCAAAGAAAAGCAAAGGAGGAUUUGUGAAGAUGUUGGAAGAAUCUGAAGAACUCACAUCAUCU